rnacentral:siRNA from 1 species
UUAUGGACUUGGCUGUCUUAAA